ACGGGAGGCAGCAGUGGGGAAUAUUGCACAAUGGGGGAAACCCUGAUGCAGCGACGCCGCGUGAAGGAAGAAGUAUUUCGGUAUGUAAACUUCUAUCAGCAGGGAAGAAGAUGACGGUACCUGACUAAGAAGCCCCGGCUAACUACGUGCCAGCAGCCGCGGUAAUACGUAGGGGGCAAGCGUUAUCCGGAUUUACUGGGUGUAAAGGGAGCGUAGACGGAGCAGCAAGUCUGAUGUGAAAGACCGGGGCUUAACCCCGGGCCUGCAUUGGAAACUGUUGAUCUUGAGUGCCGGAGGGGUAAGCGGAAUUCCUGGUGUAGCGGUGAAAUGCGUAGAUAUCAGGAGGAACACCGGUGGCGAAGGCGGCUUACUGGACGGCAACUGACGUUGAGGCUCGAAAGCGUGGGGAGCAAACAGGAUUAGAUACCCUGGUA
rnacentral:rRNA from 2 species